AAACCAACAGGGAUUGCCUCAGUAACGGCGAGUGAAGCGGCAACAGCUCAAAUUUGAAAUCUGGCCUCCACGGUCCGAGUUGUAAUUUGUAGAGGAUGUUUUGGGUACCGCCGCGGGUUAAUUUCCUUGGAACAGGAUGCCAAAGAGGGUGAGAGCCCCGUCUUGGCUCGCGGUAGGGCUCGUGUAAAACUCCUUCGACGAGUCGACUAGUUUGGGAAUGCUGGUCAAAAUGGGUGGUAAAUUUCAUCUAAAGCUAAAUAUUGGCCAGAGACCGAUAGCGCACAAGUAGAGUGAUCGAAAGAUGAAAAGCACUUUGAAAAGAGAGUUAAACAGUAUGUGAAAUUGUUGAAAGGGAAGCGCAGGCAACCAGACUCGUGCGCGGGGUUCCCCCUUGCUUCUGCUUGGGUCACUUCCCCGUGUCCGGGCCAUCAUCAGUUUCGGGGGCCGGUCAAAGGCUCUGGGAAUGUAUCCUCGCCUUCGGGGGAGGACUUAUAGCCCAGGGUGUCAUGCGGCCACCCGGGACUGAGGAACGCGCUUCGGCGAGGAUGAUGGCGUAAUGGUUGUCUGCGAC
rnacentral:rRNA from 1 species